UACGGGGGGGGCAAGCGUUGUUCGGAAUUACUGGGCGUAAAGGGCUCGUAGGCGGCCAACUAAGUCAGACGUGAAAUCCCUCGGCUUAACCGGGGAACUGCGUCUGAUACUGGAUGGCUUGAGUUUGGGAGAGGGAUGCGGAAUUCCAGGUGUAGCGGUGAAAUGCGUAGAUAUCAGGAGGAACACCGAUGGCGAAGGCAGGUCUCUGGGCCACUACUGACGCUGAGAAGCGAAAGCAUGGGGAGCGAACAGG
rnacentral:rRNA from 1 species